GUAGUCUCGCACAGAUGCAUAUCAAUAAGCGGAGGAAAAGAAACUAACAAGGAUUCCCCUAGUAACGGCGAGUGAAGCGGGAAGAGCUCAAAUUUGAAAUCUUAAAGGGUUUCCCUUUACGAAUUGUAGUUUAAAGAAGUGUUUUCUGUUGAGGUUUUGGUAAAAGUUCUUUGGAAUAGGACAUCAUAGAGGGUGAGAAUCCCGUAUUUGACCUUUACUUUCAACUUUGUGAUACACUUUCAAAGAGUCGGAUUGUUUGGGAAUGCAGUCCAAAAUGGGUGGUAAAUUUCAUCUAAAGCUAAAUAUUGGCGAGAGACCGAUAGCGAACAAGUACCGUGAGGGAAAGAUGAAAAGAACUUUGAAAAGAGAGUUAAACAGUACGUGAAAUUGUCAAAAGGGAAGCGUUUGACACCAGUGUUGUUUUUCUGAAAAUCAAUUAAAGAACUGUUUAUGCUAAGCUGUUUAGACUUUAUCAGCUAUCUGUUUAGUUUUGAGCUUUUCUUUAAUGCACUUUUCAGUUAACAAGUCAACAUCAAUUUCUUUUGCUGUAAAAAAGCUUGAGGAAGGUGGCUUGAGAUUCGUCUUAAGUGUUUAUAGCCUCUUGCCUAUGCAGUCGGAGAGAUUGAGGUCUGCAGCGUAGAUCCUUCGGGGCUAAAUGCAUUUGUGCUAAGUUAUAGCAUUUUAUAGACAACUUGUUGACUAUGAUUUGUCUUGUAGCUUACUCGCUUAUGUUAUUUUACCUACGCUUAGGAUGUUGAUCUGUAGUGCGUGCGC
rnacentral:rRNA from 1 species